rnacentral:rRNA from 1 species
GACGAACGCUGGCGGCGUGCUUAACACAUGCAAGUCGAACGGAAAGGCCCUGCUUUUGUGGGGUGCUCGAGUGGCGAACGGGUGAGUAACACGUGAGUAACCUGCCCUUGACUUUGGGAUAACUUCAGGAAACUGGGGCUAAUACCGGAUAGGAGCUCCUGCUGCAUGGCGGGGGUUGGAAAGUUUCGGCGGUUGGGGAUGGACUCGCGGCUUAUCAGCUUGUUGGUGGGGUAGUGGCUUACCAAGGCUUUGACGGGUAGCCGGCCUGAGAGGGUGACCGGCCACAUUGGGACUGAGAUACGGCCCAGACUCCUACGGGAGGCAGCAGUGGGGAAUAUUGCACAAUGGGCGGAAGCCUGAUGCAGCAACGCCGCGUGCGGGAUGACGGCCUUCGGGUUGUAAACCGCUUUCGCCUGUGACGAAGCGUGAGUGACGGUAAUGGGUAAAGAAGCACCGGCUAACUACGUGCCAGCAGCCGCGGUGAUACGUAGGGUGCGAGCGUUGUCCGGAUUUAUUGGGCGUAAAGGGCUCGUAGGUGGUUGAUCGCGUCGGAAGUGUAAUCUUGGGGCUUAACCCUGAGCGUGCUUUCGAUACGGGUUGACUUGAGGAAGGUAGGGGAGGAUGGAAUUCCUGGUGGAGCGGUGGAAUGCGCAGAUAUCAGGAGGAACACCAGUGGCGAAGGCGGUUCUCUGGGCCUUUCCUGACGCUGAGGAGCGAAAGCGUGGGGAGCGAACAGGCUUAGAUACCCUGGUAGUCCACGCUGUAAACGGUGGGUACUAGGUGUGGGGUCCAUUCCACGGGUUCCGUGCCGUAGCUAACGCUUUAAGUACCCCGCCUGGGGAGUACGGCCGCAAGGCUAAAACUCAAAGGAAUUGACGGGGCCCCGCACAAGCGGCGGAGCAUGCGGAUUAAUUCGAUGCAACGCGUAGAACCUUACCUGGGUUUGACAUGGAUCGGGAGUGCUCAGAGAUGGGUGUGCCUCUUUUGGGGUCGGUUCACAGGUGGUGCAUGGCUGUCGUCAGCUCGUGUCGUGAGAUGUUGGGUUAAGUCCCGCAACGAGCGCAACCCUUGUUCACUGUUGCCAGCACGUUAUGGUGGGGACUCAGUGGAGACCGCCGGGGUCAACUCGGAGGAAGGUGGGGAUGACGUCAAGUCAUCAUGCCCCUUAUGUCCAGGGCUUCACGCAUGCUACAAUGGCUGGUACAGAGAGUGGCGAGCCUGUGAGGGUGAGCGAAUCUCGGAAAGUCGGUCUCAGUUCGGAUUGGGGUCUGCAACUCGACCUCAUGAAGUCGGAGUCGCAAGUAAUCGCAGAUCAGCAACGCUGCGGUGAAUACGUUCCCGGGGCU